AUUGAACGCUGGCGGCAUGCCUACACAUGCAAGUCGAACGGUAACAGGUUAAGCUGACGAGUGGCGAACGGGUGAGUAAUGUAUCGGAACGUGCCCAGUCGUGGGGGAUAACUGCUCGAAAGAGCAGCUAAUACCGCAUACGACCUGAGGGUGAAAGCGGGGGAUCGCAAGACCUCGCGCGAUUGGAGCGGCCGAUAUCAGAUUAGGUAGUUGGUGAGGUAAAGGCUCACCAAGCCGACGAUCUGUAGCUGGUCUGAGAGGACGACCAGCCUCACUGGGACUGAGACACGGCCCAGACUCCUACGGGAGGCAGCAGUGGGGAAUUUUGGACAAUGGGCGCAAGCCUGAUCCAGCCAUGCCGCGUGCGGGAAGAAGGCCUUCGGGUUGUAAACCGCUUUUGUCAGGGAAGAAAAGGUUCUGGCUAAUACCUGGGACUCAUGACGGUACCUGAAGAAUAAGCACCGGCUAACUACGUGCCAGCAGCCGCGGUAACAC
rnacentral:rRNA from 1 species